GUGGGGAAUAUUGGACAAUGGGGGCAACCCUGAUCCAGCCAUGCCGCGUGUGUGAAGAAGGCCUUUUGGUUGUAAAGCACUUUAAGCGAGGAGGAGGCUCUUCUAGUUAAUACCUAGGAUGAGUGGACGUUACUCGCAGAAUAAGCACCGGCUAACUCUGUGCCAGCAGCCGCGGUAAUACAGAGGGUGCGAGCGUUAAUCGGAUUUACUGGGCGUAAAGCGUACGUAGGCGGCUUUUUAAGUCGGAUGUGAAAUCCCUGAGCUUAACUUAGGAAUUGCAUUCGAUACUGGGAAGCUAGAGUAUGGGAGAGGAUGGUAGAAUUCCAGGUGUAGCGGUGAAAUGCGUAGAGAUCUGGAGGAAUACCGAUGGCGAAGGCAGCCAUCUGGCCUAAUACUGACGCUGAGGUACGAAAGCAUGGGGAGCAAACAGGAUUAGAUACCCUGGUAGUCC
rnacentral:rRNA from 1 species